AAAUUUGCAUAUGAAUCAUUUAGAUUCAAAUUUGAUUUUAUAACCACUCAAUUUCACAUUACAUUAGCCACUUAUAAAACAAAGGAUUUUUCUUAGGAAUCUCGCCAUAUCCAUAAAUACCAUCUUCCUUUGCUUCCCAAGUACAAUUUCUACAUCUAGAAGAAUCUCUAACCGCUUUAUAAAUAUCGAACACACCUUUUUUUACUUGUUCUUGGCUAAAUCCACAGAAGUAGAGUGUCGAAUUCAUAAAAUUCACGUAAAACAUCCAACCAUAUAAUCCACCUUUUUGUAGAAUAUGGAAGCCAUGAUCAUCAU
rnacentral:sRNA from 1 species